rnacentral:lncRNA from 1 species
CAGCUAUGACCAUUUUCGUGAGCUGAUUCACUCCUGUUUGUACUUUGGAGGAAGAAGCUUGGAAUACAGAGAAGCAUGCAGGCAGCAACCCAGGUUUCCUAUGUAGGAACCACAUGUGCAAAAAUGGCAAAAGAAAGAGAGGAGCAAGAGAUCCGCUUAUGAUAAUCCAACAAAACGAUAACUGGAACAGAAAAGAAAACGACGGCCAAUCAAACCCCUGAGUGACUCCACAUUGUCUUUAAUUCUCCUCUAAUCAAAGAGCAGCACACAGUUGUGAGAGGUGGUCCGAGCCGGGGAGAUUAUGCAGAGAGUGACUCCAUUCAGAGAAAUUUUGGCAUGAUUCCUAACCUCUUAGCCUGAGGGAGAAUUUCUUAAAUUUUAUUUGUGGUUCUCACCUGAGAGAAUUGAUGCCUUCAAGAGAGCACCAGACAGAGGCUAAACAGACAUGCAAUAAAAUUAUCCUCCUUGGAUGGGUCAGGAGCUGGCUGAUAACUUACUCUAAGCCUACAUCAAUCAGGGAGCAGCAGGGGCAUCCACAGUCAAGGAGAGCUGAAGGUGGCAGGGCGUACAGCCGCAGAUCAUCUUAAAUAAAGAUAUAGAAGGCAGACUCUCAUAAAAGAAACCAUAAAUGAAACAAUGAAUAACGACUUCUGUUUAUCAUUCUCUAUUGUUUGCAACUUUCACAAUAAGCGUGUAUUGUUUUCUUAAAUAAAUAGCAAACAAUAAACUCAUAUUGAUAUGGCAUCAAUUUUCACUGAAUACCCUAAGAGGAAGCCAUGUUUUUC